ensembl:lncRNA
GGUAAAGCUUUCACAAUAUUCACAAUACAUAGAUAGGCCCUAGUACCCUUUACUGUGGGUUACAAUGACUAGGGCAUAUCACAUGAAUCAUUGAUAGUGCACUAGAAGUAAUAACUAGAAGUAAUAGGGUUAGGGUUACAAAGGCAAGGUGUAUCAGGUAGAAAAAGUUCAUGAUAGGUAAACAGGUCCUAGUACCCAUCCUUGGGGUUACAAUCACUAGGGGAUUUCAGCUGGAACAUCACACAUACACUAUAGGUAAACAGGUCCUAGUACCCAUCCUUGGGGUUACAGUGACUAGGGGAUAUCAGCUGGAACAUCACACAUACACUAUAGGUAAACAGGUCCUAGUACCCAUCCUUGGGGUUACAGUGACUAGGGGAUAUCAGCUGGAACAUCACACAUACACUAUAGGUAAACAGGCCCCUAGUACCCAUCCUUGGGGUUACAAUGGCAAGGUGUAUCAGGUGGAAAAGCAAGCAUUCACAACAAAAACAGCCCCUAGUAGCCAUACUUUAAGUCUUCUUAGCUUCCCAAAAUCUUGGAACCUAAGAGUAGCCCCGGUCAAACAGAGAACAGAGAAGUAACUCUGCACUGUUAUGUUGCUUACCAUACUUUUCCCUUCUACUCUGUUGUACGGUUCCACACAUGUAGAACCUUUAGAGCUUCCCAGGAGGACGACCAAAGAA